GUGAGGAAUUUUCCGCAAUGGGCGAAAGCCUGACGGAGCAGUGCCGCGUGAAGGAUGAAGGCCUAUGGGUUGUAAACUUCUUUUCUCAGAAAAGAAUUAUGACGGUAUCUGAGGAAUAAGCAUCGGCUAACUCUGUGCCAGCAGCCGCGGUAAGACAGAGGAUGCAAGCGUUAUCCGGAAUGAUUGGGCGUAAAGCGUCUGUAGGUUGUUUAAAAAGUAUUCUGUCAAAGAUUAGGGCUUAACCCUAGAUAGGCAGAAUAAACUUUUAAGCUAGAGUUUGGUAGAGGCAGAGGGAAUUCCCGGUGGAGCGGUGAAAUGCGUAGAUAUCGGGAGGAACACCAAAGGCGAAGGCACUCUGCUGGGCCAAUACUAACACUGAGAGACGAAAGCGAGGGGAGCAAAUGGGAUUAGAAACCCUGGUAGUCC
rnacentral:rRNA from 1 species